rnacentral:rRNA from 1 species
AACGCGAAGAACCUUACCUGGGUUUGAACUGCAGUAGACCGGCGCAGAGAUGUGCCUUCCCUUCGGGCUGCUGUGGAGGUGCUGCAUGGCUGUCGUCAGCUCGUGUCGUGAGAUGUUGGGUUAAGUCCCGCAACGAGCGCAACCCUUGCCAGUAGUUGCCAACAGGUAAAGCUGGGAACUCUACUGGGACUGCCGGUGUUAAACCGGAGGAAGGUGGGGAUGACGUCAAGUCCUCAUGGCCCUUAUGUCCAGGGCUACACACGUGCAACAAUGGUUGGUACAAUGGGUCGCGAAACCGCGAGGUGGAGCUAAUCUCAAAAAACCAAUCUCAGUUCGGAUUGUAGUCUGCAACUCGACUACAUGAAGUAGGAAUCGCUAGUAAUCGCGGAUCAGCACGCCGCGGUGAAUACGUUCCCGGGCCUUGUACACACCGGAGUGC